GAUCCAGUGGCGCAAUUGGUUAGCGCGCGGUACUUAUAUGGCAGUAUCUGUUGGGCAAUGCCGAGGUUGUGAGUUCGAGCCUCACCUGGAGCA
rnacentral:tRNA from 1 species